rnacentral:rRNA from 1 species
CUACGGGGGGCAGCAGGCGCGGAAACUUUACAAUGCACGCAAGUGUGAUAAGGGAAUCCAAAGUGCUUACGUUUUACGUAGGCUUUUGCCAAGUCUAAACAGAUUGGAGAAUAAGUGGUGGGUAAGACUGGUGCCAGCAGCCGCGGUAACCCCAGCGCCACGAGUGGGAGUCGCUUUUAUUGGGCCUAAAGCGUUCGUAGCCUGUUUAGUAAGUCUUUUGUGAAAUUGUCAGGCUUAACCUGACAGCGUGCAAGAGAUACUACUUUUCUUGGGACCGGGAGGAGUAUGAGGUAUUCCAUGGGGAACGGUAAAAUGUAAUAAUCCAUGGAGGACCACCAGUGGCGAAGGCGUCAUACUAGAACGGAUUCGACGGUGAGGGACGAAGGCCAGGGGAGCAAAACGGAUUAGAUACCCGGGUAGUC